GAUGAACGUUGGCGGCGUGCCUAACACAUGCAAGUCGAACGCUAGUAGCAAUAUUAGAGUGGCGCACGGGUGAGUAACACGUAGCUUACCCACCUCCCAGCGCGGGAUAACGGUUCGAAAGAACUGCUAAUACCGCAUAAGCUCACGGGCUAUAGAGGCUAGUGAGAAAAGGCUUAGGUCACUGGGGAGCGGGGGCGUGCGGCCCA
rnacentral:rRNA from 1 species